rnacentral:tRNA from 1 species
ACUCAAAUAGCUUAAGAUAAGAGCAUAACACUGAAGAUGUUAAGGUAAUUUUUGUUUUUGAGUA